GCCCCGUUGGUGUAGUGGCCUAACACGAUGCCCUCUCAAGGCAUAGAUCACGAGUUCGAAUCUCGUACGGGGUACCA
rnacentral:tRNA from 1 species